UGCCUGUCGACAUCUUGUUUGCGUGAACGUCGGGGCAGAGAAAAACUAAUGCAAACUGCGCUCGGAGAAUAACCAAAUCUUCACCUAAGGACCCGGGUUCGAUUCCCGGCACCUCCACUA
rnacentral:tmRNA from 1 species